rnacentral:rRNA from 1 species
UACGUAGGGGGCAAGCGUUAUCCGGAUUUACUGGGUGUGAAGGGAGCGUAGACGGCAUGGCAAGUCAGAUGUGAAAGCCCGGGGCUCAACCCCGGGACUGCAUUUGAAACUGUCAGGCUGGAGUGCAGGAGAGGUAAGCGGAAUUCCUAGUGUAGCGGUGAAAUGCGUAGAUAUUAGGAGGAACACCAGUGGCGAAGGCGGCUUACUGGACUGUAACUGACGUUGAGGCUCGAAAGCGUGGGGAGCAAACAGG